rnacentral:lncRNA from 1 species
UUUAAUUUAAUAGUAACCUAUGAGUCUUCGAGAGUCACUGUUGCAGGGAAUGAAAAUCUAGACGGAGCAUCUUAAGGCAAGGUCUCAUGUACUCCCCACCCUCCCGGUUUAUGAGAAUUCAUGUGAUGAUGACCUUGAACCGAUGCUCCUCCCUGCCUCUGAGUUCAAGGAUUACAGGAAAUAUUAUCACCACGCCUGGCUACAUAUUCUGAAUUGCAAGUGUCUUUAUAAAUUACAUUAAAUAGGCCUGAAGAGAUGGUUCAGUGGUUGAGAACAUUGGCUGUUCUUCAAGAGGUCCUGAGUUCAAUUCCCAGCAUCCACAUGGUGGCUCAUAACCAUCUGCUAUGGGAUCUGAUUCCCUCUUCUGGUGUGUCUGAAGACAGAGCACUUGUAUACAUAAAACACACACACGAAUAAAUCUUUAAAAAGAAAUUCCAUUAAAUGUAAAAUUAAGCUAGUG